rnacentral:lncRNA from 1 species
CCCACCUCAGCGUCCCAAAGUGCUGGGAUUACAGGCAUGGGCCACCGCGCCCAGCCUCCAGCUUUUCUUUUAACACCAGGGGCUGGGUCGGAGUUGCUCUCUGAAGAAAAGUUGUCCUCUCUUGGGCAGCGCAGUGGUCACUUCUCCUGAGUUUCUCACACCCGUUGGCCUUCACUUACUGCUGUUCCCUGCCCAGCCCUGGUAGGCAUUUGAGAUUGCUCAUCUCUGAUUUAGAAGUUUCAUUAACCUUGUUAAACAGUGCUCCAGACCUAAGUGUAUAUCAACCAACUCAGGCAACGACACUGUACUCCCAAUUCCUUCCUUUACCCCAGUCCACUGGCAGCAGCUUAUCCUGUAACACCUUAACGGCUGCAUUUCACACUCUAAACACAGAGAACAUACAGGCAAACCUUGAGUUUAUUUUAGAUGGCAUCUUUUCAAAUAAAAACUCCUCAAGGUAAUUUUCUUAAAUUAAGAUCCCAUGGGAAAAAAUAAAUUAACCAAUAAUAAAACCUCUGAUGAGCCCUGGGGUUGAUCUUUCAGUAAGUGGAUAAUUAUUUGCUGGGCUCUCCACUCAAAUAAAAUUAUCUAGUUGUAGCAUCUCUUUUUUUCCUAGACUAGUUAUUAAUGUGAUUAUAAAGUUUUUCUCAUUUGUUUUUCUUUAGGUAUGAUUUUAGAAAUCUCUCUCUCUCCUGCUUGCACACACACAGACACACACAUCUUUAAAACUACCCUUUUUAUGAAGAUCUAGAGGAGUGAGAAUGAAGGAGGAGGAAGUGGAUGAAAAACUCCAAAGAUAAGUUCUCUGGGGUAAAACAUUAACAGCCUUACCACCCUCAGUGCCCCUUACUCACCAUCUAUAAAACAGAGGCUGGGGUUGUAUCUAUAUUAUUUCCACAAACUGAGAUGGAUCACAAAUAAUUUGUUCCUAAUACUUGUAGAAUAAAAAUUUACAAAUGGCUUCUCAGUAAGUAAAAGCAACUUCAAGGUUGUGUCUGUAGAAAUGUAUCUCCUCUGUGUUGCGUUCUACAGCAUUUUCUAGAAUGAGAGAGAAAGAGGUGGUCCGCCGUAUAGUUAACAUGCAGAGAAUGUUUCAUAACCCAGAGAUAGAUGCAGUCAGUACAGUGAAGACUGGGAAUUUUGAAAAGAGGAGCAAUAUCUAGGAAUUCUUUUUUAGGAAGUUAGCUGGGUGCUGUCCCUAGUUUAUGUACAGCCCUGUCCUUUCCUCAAGAAAAUUUCAGUAAAGAUCUAUGUUGCUUCCAAUGCUGUUUAGGGUAAAAUUUGUGUUUCUUUUGUCUGAGAAUGUCUUCAAGGCAAUCUUCAGUAUGCUAUAACCAGUGGUUCUUGAAGUUGGUUCCUAACCCCUGACUAGCAGCAGCAGCACCUGGGAAUUUAUUGAAAUUAAUCUUUGAGCUUCACCCCAGAUCUGUCAGAAAUUCCGGCAGUGAAGCCCCACAAUAUGUAUGUAGUUUAAGUCACCCUCCAAGUGAUUCUGAAACUGAAGUUUGAGAACUGCGGUUAUCACCUAUAGUGAGUAACCACUACGGAGAAACCAUCUGUAGUAGAGGCUGUUGGUGCCACCCAUUCAGAUCUUCCUGACCAGCCAAUGCACUUGUACUCUGGCUGCUUGGAGGAAUACAGCUGAGGAAACGUUUACACCUGUGUCCUUCUCCAGUUACUUCUCCAUGCUAGGCAGAACAAGGAGAGAUGCCUGGGAAGCCACCUACCCACAACCCUGGGUUGGCAAUGACAUAAGGUUCUUAAGCCUGAACUCCUUGCAGGGCAAUACAGCCCUGUGAGCCUGGGGACCAGACCAAGGCUAGACUUUGCCUAAGACCAUAUCCUUGUAGAUCCUCCUCCUUUUCUAUCUUGCUCUCCUCACUCUCUUACAGGAUUUUCCUAAAGACUGCUCCCUCAUUAAAUCCUGUGCACAUGAAUCCACUUUCUAGGGAAAUAGGCUAAGACAUGACUAAUUGUUGUGUAAUUACUUACGAAACUUUUCUUAGCGUGAUAAUGGAUGGGGCUAGUUAUUGUUUGGUGGGGAAGAGUUAACACAUGUGGGAAUACCCAUAGGAGUCUUAUCAAAAGGGCAUCAAACAACAUUGUGUGCUCUUGCACUGCUAAAAUAAAGGUUGAAAACUGGUGGAUCACAUGAUCCCUAGUGACUCUUCUAAAAUUUAUGUCAUCAUAAUUCCUGACAGUGAAUAAGAGAUACUUAUUGUACAAUUUUGUGAUAGGAAGUUCCAAGAGAGGCAAGUACUCAUGUUUACUAACAAAAUAAUUCAUUGAACAAAUGUUUACUGCUCCUCUAUGUUCUAGGCACUGGGACCUCUAUGGUAAACUCUACAGGCAAAGCCUCUACCCUCAAGGAACUUCCAUCUUGAUGACAGAGACUGGCAAUAAACAGAUGAAUACAUGUAAUCUGAUAUAGAGAGGGCAUCAAGUCUCAGACAUCCAGACUGAGACAUGGCAAGUAUCCUUGAGACCACAUUCUAUUCCUGAAGCUGAAAGGUGAGGAAUGACUUAUCUCUAUUUCAUUUUAUUCAAAGUAUAUAAAUAUUAUUAAAUAAUACCACAAAGAAAGAUUGUAUAUCAUUUCUGCUAACAGCUAAAAAUCUGUAAUUCAUUUCUUCUCCCAAAGCUCCUAUUCAUUGCUAAAAUUUUAUUGUAUUUUCUAAAUGCACAGAAAAAGAUAUUUCCAUUAUGAUUUAUAUUACAACCAAGUUUUAACAAAAGAAGUCAAUUCUUUGGUAAGAAACAAAAAUCCACCAGAUCUACUUAGAAACAAUAUUUAAGGCUUACAUCCAUGGAGAUUCCUUUUUUAAAUGAAAUUCAAUUUUCCCAUUUGUAAGUUUCCUGAUGUUGAUGGUUGUGGUAUAUGUGCCUGUGGUCAAGUGGUUUAGGGAAAGUGGGUUAUUGGAAGAUUGUAGGUGCUGGUUUUAAAAUUAAACCUGAAUCUUUCACAUGCCUUAAGGAUCAUAUCCAAAAAACAUUUGUGUUCCAUAGGACCAAAGGUACUAUCUCACCACUAAAAUGCAAAGAGCCAGAAGUCUAUUUAUACAUUCUCCAUGAUUUGUUUCCCAGAUUUAGCUUUCUACAAGCACUUCCUUCAGGGAAACACACACUUUUCCUCUCUUGCAGCCCAAUUUCCUGUAGGAGUGCCUCUUUAGGAAAUGAUAAUCACAGCAUCAUUCUUGUGUUAUAUGAUGACAACUUAGAAGAAAAACACGCAUAUACAUUCAUUCAAAACACCUUCCGAAACAAAUGAGGAUGAAGCAAAGAAAGGAGACGAAGAAAACGUUCUCUUUGCCCAAACAGUUCUGCCUUUUUAAAAAAAAAAAAAAAAAGUAGAUUUUGCAGCAUUUUCUUAGCUUACACUGAAAAUUCAAAUCUAUACCCCUCAUUUAAAGGCAGGUUCUUCUUUUAGUGUUAGGUGUAAAUUCAUGUAAUCUGAGUCACUAUUCGAGUUCAGUCCAAACAGUUCUACCUUGGGCAAUUAUAGGAUAUCCAGGUAUCCGAGGAAGCUGCUAGGACAUGCUAACACAGAGAUGCUCUUGUUCCAAGAGUGAGGGUGGACAAUGAGGGUGGGUAGUUCUCUACUUAGCCGAACUGUGUCAUGACCACAAUCUUUGUGAAGACUCUUUUAAGGAGCAGGACUGCUCAUCCUGAGCAAAGUGAGAGUCUGGGAACUAUGCUCAGAAGAAAAGAAAAAAGGAGGCAGCCAGAUUAUAUAACCUAGCCUUCUAAAUGCAAAGCCAGCACACAAAGCUAUCUCAAAAUUUUUUGUCAAUGCUAUGGUUUCUUCUAGAUCCAGACUCAGCAAGGUCUCUAGAGAUAGCUGCUCGCUGGAAGUGGUGCUGGGAACAAGGCUGGCUGUCCCCACACCAGAGCAGCCUCUAGAAAGUUGCUGAAUGGAUGUUACUGCCCACCAAAGAAGCCACUGCCAUGAGAAACAUCACCCAGAGAGGAAGAUGUUUCCACUUAUUAUAAUCAAGUCCAUGCUCUAACCUCACAAUGACCACAUUUCCCAAAUUCGAAGACUCUUAUCAUGCUGACUUUUCUCUUCUUUUUUUUGAGACAGAGUCUCGCUCUGUCGCUCAGGUUGGAGUGCAGUGCC